UUUUGUUUCUAGGAAAUCCAAUAAAAUUGGAACGAUACAAAGAAGAUUAGCAUGACUCCUGCACAAGGAUGGCACACUCAAAUCAAGAAAUGAUAAAAGUUUUG